GCUUAUUCCCACGCAUCUUGCACAGCUUGUGGGUGAAGCACCUUGGGAGGGCGUAGCUGCAGAACUGGAGCCUGCCAUCCAGAUGGGACCAGUGGGACACUUUUACUGGAAGCCUGAAACAUGGCCAGUUAAGCCAGAAGAGCUGAGGCCACCUCUCCACACACAACUCUUCACGGUCCCCAGAGGAGUAAGAGUGUGAAGCGUGCCAUCGCACACCCCUGCACUCUCAACCAGGGAGUGUUUCUCGUCCACAGCCCGUGUCUGUUAUUCACCACUGCAAAGCCAAGGCCCUUAGCCAUUCUCCUCCUGUCUGUGAGAAGGCAACACCCAACCAAGAAAAUGAGAGAAAAAUGUUUUUAACAUUUAUUUGUUCUUGGACCUCCCUCACAGCCUAGCUAAGAUAAUGAAGCUAAAAUAUUUAAUCACCUCAUGCUUCUAUUAUAAAACUCUUCUGUUUUGAACAAAUGGAAAAACAAUGGGGCUGUAAACCUGGUGUUCUGCUUCACCAAAUAACUGCUCGCAGUCCCUGGUUUCAAGGAACCUGACGCAUCUGGCUCAGACAUGGAGCAACAUGCUCUCUUUCCCUCCGGUGACUCAUUUAACGUCUCCUCAAGGAAAAAUUACUACUACUGGAACAGCAAAAACAGCCUCCUAGGCAUUGUUAUGAUCAGCUGUGUGGAGAGGAGCUGGAAAGGACAAAGUAGUGAGAGUGAUGUCUGGGAGUGUGGGGAUACCGCUGGGGUGGGAGAGGUCCGUGGACGGGCUGACCACUGCUCGUGACCGUGACAAGAAGCUCCUCUCUGGCCUCUGCCCCGAGACAGUUUUGCAUUUGCCCUGGCCAGAGGAGAUGGUUAUCUUCCUUAUUGCAACAGCGGGUGAGCUGGCUCCAACCCUCGUGCCACGGUCUGCCCGGGGGAGGCAGUCGGCCUCGCUACCGGGGCUGCCACAGCAGGCCGAGGCCAGGUGAAUCAUCUCUUUGAUUCGUGGUGAUCUUCCUUACCACACUUAUGACUUUCAGGCUGGGUUUUAGGCUCUUCCUCUGGUCAGCGAGGCCUUCCAGAGGGCAAGCCAGCCCUCCGCAAUACACUUGGCUUUAGAUGGGAGGGAGGAGGCUUGCCCUCUGCAGACAGCAGCCUCUCCUCACAGCAAAACAGCUAAAGUGAGUUAUGGCUCCUCAGGCAGCGGAAUGCAAAAUUGUCAGGCUCUUGGCACGUGGGUGACUGCCUGGAUAUCUCAGAGACACAGCUCACAAAUCCAUUCGGAGGGCUUUUAUGCUAAUAAAGCUCUGGUUUUCCUCAGGAACUAGUCAUUGCUGCCAGUUCAGAAAUCUUUAUUUUAGCUUUUGUUUUGAAUUUUCAAAGCCUGCUUUGUCAGUGGAAAUGCACAUCCUCCUGACUGCGGCACAGAAAGCGCUGCUGACAAUUAUUUUUCUGUUACGACACAUCGCAUCAGGUGGUCCUAUCUCAGCACAGUAGACAGCUGAUGGGUGGGGAAGAGAAACUGAUAUAGCCUAACCAUGAGGUCUCGCUGCCUGCCUGGGAAAUAAAGGACACCGAAAUAUAACUGCGUGGGAAGGACUUCCAAGAAGAAUUUGUCCCAAACCAUUUCUGGAAACAGAUGAUAACAUUAUUUACCCAAAUACAGGAAGCUUGAGAUUGCAAUGAAUGACGAAAGGCAAACAUGAAGAGUGAGGGGGAGAAGUAUGUUCUUCUCCCUAACCCCUCCCCA